GACGGAGGGUGCUAGCGUUGUUCGGAAUGACUGGGCGUAAAGCGUGCGCAGGCGGUUCUGCAAGUCAGAUGUGAAAUCCCCGGGCUUAACCUGGGAACUGCGUUUGAAACUACGGAGCUAGAGUGCGGCAGAGGGGGGUGGAAUUCCACGUGUAGCAGUGAAAUGCGUAGAUAUGUGGAGGAACACCGAUGGCGAAGGCAGCCCCCUGGGCCGACACUGACGCUCAGGCACGAAAGCGUGGGGAGCAAACAGG
rnacentral:rRNA from 1 species